CAUCUUCCGUCUGUAUUAACAGAAAUAAAAAUAGUAUCAUUUAGUAUGGUUUGGACUUACAGCAAUUAGUUGUAAAUGAAGAUGUACCAUUUGUAACUUUGUGUAACGGAUAUCUUUUUGAUUCACAGGAAUAAUAACAGGUUACAGCAAAGAUUUCAGACUGAGAUGGCAUUGUCGCAGCAACUCCGUUUGACAUAAUGGCUUCAAAUCUAGAAACAGACAUCGAAAUGCAGAGUUUGAUAAGCAAUAAUGAUGACUCUCUGCACAAGUUUUAUGAAGAGAAAUGUCUAUUUUCUAUUCCAAAAGACGAGGUUACACUUAUCCAGCAUGCAGUAGAGUUUAUGGUUAGAUUUCUGCUGUUGACAAUAUACGAGAACACUUCUUUCAGCGAAUUAAUUGUUUCUGGUAAAUCAAUCAUGCGCACACUUGAAUCGUUCAAAACUCCACCCAAUAUUCCCUAUGCGUUCGAUGACAACAAUUUGCUGAAAGUUGGAAGUUUUUAUGAAAAUACCAAGAAUUGUUAUCCUGAUGAGUUCGAUUUUAUAUAUGUAUUUGCUGAAUGCAGAGAAAAUGAAUUUGUUAUCAUGAAAGAGUUACUGUCAACCAUGGCGGACAUUUUCCACGAUUGUUUGAAAAAGGCCGUUGUCAAACCGUUCCUUGCCGAGACAUGCAUAGAAUUUGUAGGAUAUGUACGCAAACAUGGCCCAGCGGCAAAACUUGAAUUUCGUUAUGAAAGUGUAAAUGCUAGAGGUAACAAAAAAAGCAUUUUCGUUGAUAUUUCCCCUGCCUUAAAAGUGUUUACACAGAACAAUUUUUCAAGUAAAAUGUUUGACAUUGAUCUACACCCCGAUUGGAAGAAACGUGUUCAAGCAACAGGCAGUUUUCUGCUUCUAAAGUUCUUUAGUGCAGGGCAUCCAAAACGUAAAACCAAUAUAAAAAUAUCUAUUGCAGAAUCGGAGCAUCAGUAUAUAUCGGAGGAAAUGUCCGAGAAACAUAAACAGGUGUAUAGACUUUUAAAAUAUCUUCUAAGCAACGGUGCGGAAGAAGAGAAAUUACGAAAACUUAUAAGGGGCAGACACAACUUACGGGUUAUAAAAUUUAUGCUUUUACGUUCAGAAGUUGUGUAUGAUUUUUCGUCUUAUGUGAUUAAGACUUCGAUGUUUCAUCACUGUCUUUGUUGUAACAACAGUUCGGAAACGAUAUCAGAUUGUGUUUUGAGUGUAGUCAAUUUCAUUUUGAACCUAUUCAAAUCGGAGCAAAGCAAAAGAGUAAAAUCACAAAGCUUUCGGCAAGGAAUUACGUUUUUUCCCGUUUCGGUGAAGACCAUGACAGGAGAAAUGAUUGAGAUAGCUGAUGAUUACAAUUCAUCUCUGACAAUUAUGGAAUAUCUAAAGGAGAUUCGAGAUGACAUUUCGAAAAUUCAAUUGACUGAGCAAAUAACGUUGGCAGAAAAGAUGGUACCUGUUGUACAAAAACAUAUGAUGAAAAAAAAAUAAAUUGUCGUAACUUAAGUUUAUUUCAUGUCAUUAUAUACGCUAUCCUAGUUAUUGGUUGUGUUUCUUCAGUGAUAUAUACAGUGUUAAACACUGACUCUAAGGUAGCAGAACAUGGUGUUCUGAUGCAUCUGUGUUGGAAUGGAACCGAUUAUAUGAAUUAUACAUCUAGUGUUUUUUCUAACACUUCUAAUUUGAAUAUGUUUGACAUGUCCACUGUUGAUCAGGGCAAGACUCCGUCAGUCAUCAGUACUGGAAAUAUGCACUGCAUAGAAUACAAUAAUAUCUUGUCACAGGAAAAUCAAGCUAACAUGACAAUGGCAAAUGUUAGCAGAAUCUACUACUGUGGAGAUACAAGGUCUUGCAAUACUGAAGACAACAAUACUGAAGACAACAUAUACCAAUUAAAGGUCUUCAGUAGAGGGAUUGAACAACAACUCGUUUGUAGCGCCCUUGAUAUUGAAAGCAUGAUGGAAAACGAUUACCUCUUGUCAGAUAUUAUUAAUAAUGAAAAUGGUAUGGAGAACACUGGACGACACUUAGCCUGUCUGCAGACGGAUUCAGCGUGCCUGAAUAUACAGAAGAGACGUUUUGGUGUUGGACUUUUUGUGAAUGAAAAGGCAGUUGGCUGUAAUAAACACCAACCCUGUAUGCCGACACUCUCGAAAGAAAUAAUGCAUUUGUGUUGCUACAUGUCUCAGCAUGUCAAUGAGAGUAACAAAGCAACGGAGACUGAAAUAUGCUGUUGUGACACACAUGCUUGCACAGACCCAGAAAAAGGCAAUAGGGAAAAUUCAAAUAACAUAAUCGCGGGUAUUGUAGGCUGCUCUCUAAUUUGUAUUGACAAUAGCCAUGACGUCUUACUACACAAUGAUUUUUGGAGUGCUGUUCGUCUAUAUAACAACAGUAAAUGGGUAUCACCGAUGUCAUUAAUGGAGCACAUCUUAAAAGACUCGAAUGUAUUAGAACAUACUUCAUGUGUUGCUUCCCACACAAUGAUAUACUAGCAAUGCUAUACGUUUUAAAUGGUAUUAAAUUGCGUCAGCUAAAGCGUAUUUUAAAAGCUAAUAAUCUAUCUAGACGUAAAAAUCGUACACCAGAAGAUAUUGUGAGGUAUCAUAUUCAUGCAACAAUCCAGCGAAGUGGUCAAUAUAUGAGCUAUCGAUCUUUGUGGCAAAUGUUAGUGAAAGAUUAUCGCCUAGUGGUAUCGUGAGAUCAAGUCUUAAGGCUUUUGAGAGACAAAGAUCCAUACGAAAAGCACACCGGCUGAAAAGGCGAAAACUUCGUAUGGCAUGUAGAUGGUUAUGAUAAACUUAAGCCAUAUGGGUUUAGUAUACAUUGGGCAAUCAAUGGUUACAGCCGACGAAUGUUAUGGCUUGAGAUACGAAGGUACAGACAGUGUUUCUGGUUUGAAAAGCUUUAUGUAUGGGAAGAGUGUAUCUAACCAGCGAAUAGAAUCUUGGUGGGAAAUAUUGCGUAGACAAGGAGUUCACUAGUGGAUUUCGUAUUUUAAUGGCAUGGUGGAUGCGAAUGUUAUUGAUAUAACAAAGAGGGUGCACAUGAAUGUUUGAAAUACUGCUUCAUGGAUUUAAUCCAAGCAGUACUCGAUAUGAUUGCACAACAAUGGAAUGUCCCGGAAUGAUAAUCCGUGUGGAAUGCCAAAUGUUAUGAUUUUUGUACUUGAAAUAUAUGGCGGACACGACUUUGGUCAUAACGUUGACCAGGAAGAUAUCGAGAUAUGCAUGGAGUUGUAUGGAGAACAAAAGCAACUAUAUUCAGACUGAAACAAAAGAACUGUUUCAGCUGUUGUUUUGGAUCAGUGUAAGACCUACGGUUGCAGAAGAAGCUUCAGUUUUGUACACACAAGCUCUAUUCUGAAACUGUUAAGUGUUUUAAGCGUUACGUAUAAGGCGAAAAUAAGCAGUGCUCUUAAAACAGGAGACAAAUAAGACAAAUUAAACUAUACUUUUCUUAUGUCUUGAGUAAUUUAUUCGCAUCUGGAGUAUUAUUUUGGUUCAUAUUAUCAUAUUAUUUACCCUCGAUCAAUUUGCUCAUGUAGCGCUGAAAUAAUUAUGUACAUGUAUUUGUUUCCUGACAUUUAAUGAAUUGUUUGCAUACUGGUACUUACAUAUGUUAAUAGAUGAUACAAUUGUUUUUAAGAUCAGUAUUAAACAAGAGCCAUGUUAGACAUGGCCAAUCCCCCGUCAGGAAACGUGAAUUUAAGGUUAAACUUGCUCUAAUUUACUCAGUGUAUGAAGUUUGAAGGAAAUCCGUUUAGUACUUUUGGAGUUAUGCUCCGGACAAAAUGUUAAAGUAAAUAUAAUAAAGGGGAAUAAUUUAAAAAAAUCGAUAAUGUAGAGUUAUUGAUCUGGCAAACUUCACUUCCCCCAAUGUACUCUGUCAGUGUAUACAAUUUGAGGGAAAUCCGUCAAGCACUUUUGGAGUUAUGCUCCGGACAAAAGCGUUUCUGACGCACAGACUGGGACCAUUUCUAAUAUCACUCUUCGCAUUUGCGGGGGAUAAAUAAACUUUUAGUUUUGUCCUGUUCAUAAUCUAGAGUAUCUUUGCAAGUAGUCCCAGAGCUCAGACUGAUAUAAUUGCACUUUUGAGCACGAGAAAUAUGUUCAUAUAUUUUGAGAAACCACUUAAAUCUUAAAUCUUAGAACUUACAACUUAGAACUUACAGGUUAGAACUUCACAACUUAAAAGUUAGAACUUAACAACUUGGAACUUAGAAGUUACAACUUAGAACAUUAUUUUAGAGCUUAGAAAUUUUAUAAAGAUGUACAAUUUGUAACACAAACAUAAAUCUUAUUAAUUCUUACGUCUCCCAUCCUCUUUCCACUAAUAAUACCAUUACUUAAGUAUCACAAAUAAUAAUCCAUAAAAUAUAUGAAACUUGCAAGAUUUGAUAUUUUAAAUUUUAGUGUUAACAAGUUCUCAAACUGCUCUGUAACUAUAAAUGCGGAAGAAGCUCUUCCAACUCGUUUACAACUAUGUUAAAACUUAUAGACGAAAUGGACAACAAUGAAAAUUGUCUACAAUACAUUACCUUGGAAUAUCUGGAAAACUGUUCUGCAGGAAACAGUCAAUGCCCUAAGCUUAGUUUUCCUAUCUCGUUGAGUCUUAAAAUAAUGUAUCAGUCAGUAGCCAUAAUCCAUUGUGCAAGCGCAUGUUUACUUCUGAACAUAAUGGUUUGUGUUGGUCUAACAUGCUGCUUUGAUUUCCAUUAAAGAUAUGCCAAAAUUAUCAAACUUGGACAUGCAGUAUAAUUCUAUUACUACCUGAUAGCAUGUAUGUUUGGUUGACAGUUUUCCGUUGCUGUGCACUUCAAUGUGUUAAGUGAAGAUAAUGCCUGUAUGAAUAUUUGAGGCUGGUGCUUCGGAAAUAAAGAAAUCGGACUAUUAAAGUAAUAUUUCCUUUCUUGAUAGUAAUCACCCUUAUAUUGUUAUUGUUGUUGAUGUUGGUAGAGAUUUUGGCAGUGAAAGGGAAAUAACUUUUGCAUGCAAUUUGUUUUACUUAAAAAGUCUGCCUCAGUCAUCAUUAACCUAGAUUAUAAGUAACAAAAAAUCCAGUGGAGAUAUUACAACAAAGGAAUCAAAAUAUAUCAAUAACAAUUUUUAACUUUAUUAAACACAGAAAUCGAAUCAUUUCUAAACAAAUUUGAAAGUCAAAAAUUAAGUUAUCAGAAAUGCGGCCAAUUAUUUUUGUACACAUUUUGUACGAGACAAACUUUAGAACUAUUCAAAUGACUGUGAAAGUGUACACACGUAUGUGUUUACUUUCGCUUGCCAGAGAAAACCUCAUUAAAUCUAACAAAAACUGAGCUCAGGUGAGCUUAAACAACCACAUAGACACAUUUUACAGCUUGAGAAAUUGCGAACAGUGCUAACAAUUCUGGACAACAAAGAAGCAAAUGUUAAUGUAGCUGAAAUGAGCAAACUUAUAAAACUUCAGUAAGACUCUAUAAACUUUAAAAAGUAAGAAAGAGUAAUGCUUACAAUAUUUAAACCACAAAGGAAUAUUAUCAAAAUUGCACUGAGAAAUUAAGACAAGAUGGCGAAAUGGUCCUAGGCCGCUCACCUAAGAACGCCUGGAAUAAUCUUGCUUAAAUGUGACUGAAGAAUUUGUGCGAAGAACAGCCUGGAGAGGACUAAUUCCAUACAGAAUGUUUUUCUUUUAUUUGACUGGAUGACCUAGUAUGUGACUCAUACUCGAUAUUGACCUAGAUUUCAUCAAGACAAACAUUCUGACAAAAUUUCAUGAAGAUCUAGCGUAAAAUGCAAUCAUAUUGCAUACACACGGUUUUACUUUGGUUUGACCAGGUGACCUACUUUUUGACCCGUGCUGACUCGUAUUCAAACUUGACAUAGAUUUCACCAAGCCAAACAUUCUGAUUAAAUUUCAUGAAGAUCCAGUG
rnacentral:misc_RNA from 1 species